UGUGUCUGUUAUUGAGCAGGCCAGGUGUGUCUGUUAUUGAGCAGGGCCAGGUGUGUCUGUUUAUUGAGCAGGGCCAGGUGUGUCUGUUUAUUGAGCAGGGCCAGGUGUGUCUGUUAUUGAGCAGGGCCAGGUGUGUCUGUUAUUGAGCAGGGCCAGGUGUGUCUGUUAUUGAGCAGGGCCAGGUGUGUCUGUUAUUGAGCAGGGCCAGGUGUGUCUGUUAUUGAACAGGGCCAGGUGUGUGUUAUUGAACAGGGCCAGGUGUGUGUUAUUGAGCAGGGCCAGGUGUGUGUUAUUGAGCAGGGCCAGCUGUGUGUUAUUGAGCAGGGCCAGGUGUGUGUUAUUGAGCAGGGCCAGCUGUGUGUUAUUGAGCAGGGCCAGGUGUGUGUUAUUGAGCAGGGCCAGCUGUGUGUUAUUGAGCAGGGCCAGGUGUGUGUUAUUGAGCAGGGCCAGGUGUGUGUUAUUGAGCAGGGCCAGGUGUGUGUGUUAUUGAGCAGGGCCAGGUGUGUGUGUUAUUGAGCAGGGCCAGGUGUGUCUGUUAUUGAGCAGGGCCAGGUGUGUGUUAUUGAGCAGGGCCAGCUGUGUGUUAUUGAGCAGGGCCAGGUGUGUGUUAUUGAGCAGGGCCAGCUGUAUGUUUAUUGAGCAGGGCCAGGUGUGUGUUAUUGAGCAGGGCCAGGUGUGUGUUAUUGAGCAGGGCCAGGUGUGUGUUAUUGAGCAGGGCCAGGUGUGUGUUAUUGAGCAGGGCCAGGUGUGUGUUAUUGAGCAGGGCCAGGUGUGUGUUAUUGAGCAGGGCCAGCUGUGUGUUAUUGAGCAGGGCCAGGUGUGUGUUAUUGAGCAGGGCCAGCUGUAUGUUAUUGAGCAGGGCCAGGUGUGUGUUAUUGAGCAGGGCCAGGUGUGUGUGUUAUUGAGCAGGGCCAGGUGUGUGUGUUAUUGAGCAGGGCCAGGUGUGUCUAUUUAUUGAGCAGGGCCAGGUGUGUGUGUUAUUGAGCAGGGCCAGGUGUGUCUGUUUAUUGAGCAGGGCCAGGUGUGUCUGUUUAUUGAGCAGGGCCAGGUGUGUCUGUUUAUUGAGCAGGGCCAGGUGUGUCUGUUUAUUGAGCAGGGCCAGGUGUGUGUUAUUGAGCAGGGCCAGGUGUGUGUUAUUGAGCAGGGCCAGGUGUGUGUUAUUGAGCAGGGCCAGGUGUGUGUUAUUGAGCAGGGCCAGGUGUGUGUGUUAUUGAGCAGGGCCAG